UACGUAGGGGGCUAGCGUUGUCCGGAAUCAUUGGGCGUAAAGCGCGCGUAGGCGGCCCGGUAAGUCCGCUGUAAAAGUCAAAGGCUCAACCUUUGAAUGUCAGUGGAUACUGCCGGGCUAGAGUCCGGAAGAGGCGAGUGGAACUCCUGGUGUAGCGGUGGAAUGCGCAGAUAUCAGGAAGAACACCAACGGCGAAGGCAGCUCGCUGGGACGGUACUGACGCUGAGACGCGAAAGCGUGGGGAGCGAACAGG
rnacentral:rRNA from 1 species